GACUUGGUAAGCUAAUUUAAGCUAGUGGGUUCAUACCCCGAAAAUGAGACCUUCUCCCACGUCA
rnacentral:tRNA from 1 species